UACGUAGGGUGCGAGCGUUAAUCGGAAUUACUGGGCGUAAAGCGUGCGCAGGCGGUUUUGUAGGCCAGAUGUGAAAGCCCCGGGCUCAACCUGGGAAUUGCGAUGGAGACUGCAAGGCUUGAAUCUGGCAGAGGGGGGUAGAAUUCCACGUGUAGCAGUGAAAUGCGUAGAGAUGUGGAGGAACACCGAUGGCGAAGGCAGCCCCCUGGGUCAAGAUUGACGCUCAUGCACGAAAGCGUGGGGAGCAAACAGG
rnacentral:rRNA from 1 species